rnacentral:lncRNA from 1 species
GAAGUACCAUAUCAGACUCUGCUAUAAUAUCUCUAAACCUGCAAUGAUUUCUCUGUGCAUUGAUUAUUCCAGUGCAGUGGAACAAAAAGUAAUAAUUUGUUUUGAAAUGUACUGAAGUAAAGAGAAACUUUUCUUCCAUAUAAAAAUAAUCCAAAAACUCAGCCGUAACAUAUAAAGAAAUACUUUUGUCCACCGCUGCUUUAUGUAGAACCGUAUACUUUUUCCCCAAUGAGUGAAUCAUCCAGUGAAGGAAAAAUACCUAGAUAAAGCUUGUCUGAUUUGGCUGGUCAUGUGAUCUCAUCAUGAUUGGCCAAUGAUCCACCCCAGCUUCGGUAAGUAAAACUCUAUUGACAUGAUGUCAACAUGAUUUUAUGAAUAUAUUUUUCAAACUACUGUUUUUUCUUUCUUUUUUUUUAAAAGUGAAAGAAUAGACUCUACCUCUUCCACGGUGUCCAUCUCAGUGCUGUAUGAAGUCAGGUACUCUCCAAAAGGCUGGAUCGGUGUGAUUUUAAAGUGGUCAAUCAGCUCUGCGAGACUGUUAUGAGUGGUAGAAUCACCAGAAACGACAAACAGUUCUUACUGUCUGGAGAUGAAACCUUGGAACCAGCGUGGAAAGUUUCCAUCAGACAGGAUGAACAUAGCCUGAGUCUCCACAAACCACUGGAGGAUCUGCUC